rnacentral:rRNA from 1 species
UACGUAGGUGGCAAGCGUUGUCCGGAUUUACUGGGCGUAAAGGGAGCGUAGGUGGAUAUUUAAGUGGGAUGUGAAAUACUCGGGCUUAACCUGGGUGCUGCAUUCCAAACUGGAUAUCUAGAGUGCAGGAGAGGAAAGGAGAAUUCCUAGUGUAGCGGUGAAAUGCGUAGAGAUUAGGAAGAAUACCAGUGGCGAAGGCGCCUUUCUGGACUGUAACUGACACUGAGGCUCGAAAGCGUGGGGAGCAAACAGGAUUAGAUACCCUGGUAGU